GACGAACGCUGGCGGCGUGCUUAACACAUGCAAGUCGAACGGAAGGGCCCUGCUUUUGUGGGGUGCUCGAGUGGCGAACGGGUGAGUAACACGUGAGUAACCUGCCCUUGACUUUGGGAUAACUUCAGGAAACUGGGGCUAAUACCGGAUAGGAGCUCCUGCUGCAUGGUGGGGGUUGGAAAGUUUCGGCGGUUGGGGAUGGACUCGCGGCUUAUCAGCUUGUUGGUGGGGUAGUGGCUUACCAAGGCUUUGACGGGUAACCGGCCUGAGAGGGUGACCGGCCACAUUGGGACUGAGAUACGGCCCAGACUCCUACGGGAGGCAGCAGUGGGGAAUAUUGCACAAUGGGCGGAAGCCUGAUGCAGCAACGCCGCGUGCGGGAUGACGGCCUUCGGGUUGUAAACCGCUUUCGCCUGUGACGAAGCGUGAGUGACGGUAAUGGGUAAAGAAGCACCGGCUAACUACGUG
rnacentral:rRNA from 1 species